UUCAGCCCAGCAAGAGCAGAUAUUUAUAAAACUUGCAGGCUGCUGGGCUCCAAACACUGCACUGGGGACCUGUAAUCAUCUCGUUGCAUCUCAGGUCUGAGGAGCUCCGGCUGCUGAAGAGGGAGUUAACCGUUGUCUUUUCAAGGGCCAGCCAUCUUGUGUUGAGUUUAACAACGUUAGCGGGAGAAGGAUAAUUGUCCCAGGAUAUGUGAUGUGUGACCCCUGUGAAAGGGCGGUUCGACCCCCGAGGGGAUCCUGACCCACAGGUUGAGAACUGCUGAGCUGGGGAAUUGCCCAGGACUUCCUGCCCAUCACAGGGGGAAAGAGAUGAGGACCAGUGGCACAGAGCACAUCCUACCCCAGCCAUCCUCAGAAGCAUGAGUUCCAGGGAAGUAUAUUCUAAUGGUGCUGUGAGGAGUACAGCACCAUGUUCAAGGAGGCACAAAGAGCUGUAUGAUGUUGGAGUAAGGAAAGACUUUCAGCGUCAGCACUUUCCCGCGGUGACGACCUCCCUACGAGAGCAUACCUCUUGCAAAGCAUCUCCUUCAUCCGCCUCCAGAAGAGGAAAAGAGGAAACACAAGAAAAAGCGCCCAAUCCCUGCUUUACGGAUGUGAAAUGCUGUAUAAUCACCACGGUCUUCAGCCGUGCGCAAACGGUAGUCUCCUGUGCUGGCUGCUCCGCUGUCCUUGUCAGCCCACAGGCGGAAGAGCACAGCUGUCAGGAAGAAGCUCCAUCAAGGGGAAGCAGCCCUGAACAGCACCUGAUUCAGGUGGAGUGGGAACCAUCCCGAUACACACACACACACACACACACACACACACACACACACACACACAGUGGCAUCAGCCGGGCCUGGCAUCUAUUACAUAUUAUUUACUUUAUUUGAUGUACAAAGGUUGGUAUAUUCUACUUUUACAUUUUGAAGGCCUUCUAACAUAUUUAGAGAGUACCAACAUACAUGUAUUUACUGGUUUUAAAGAGAACAGCUCAUUUCCUUUUUAGACUCUCAUGCAUCCCAGGCUGGCCUGAAAUGCCCUAGAAGGAUGAGGAAGGCCUUAAACCUCCGAUCCUCCUGCUCCCCAUCCCCACCCCCAGCGCUGGGGUUGCUUUACUGUGCCUGUUUCUUUUAAUGUGGAGCUAGGGAUCAAGUUCAGGACUCUGUGCAUGCCUGCGAGGCAAGCACUCUACUAAGUAAGCUACAUUGUUUUUUAAUUAUGUGCCUAUGUGUGUGGGGGGAGGGUACUCGAACAAGAGUGAAGGUGUCCUUGGAGAUGGCAGUCAUGAGCCAAGGUGCAAGCUGGGACUGAACUUGGAGCCUCUGCGGUGCUCAGUAAGUACAAUCUUAACUGGGGAACCGUCUCUCCAAAUCCUUUUCCUUUUUUUUUUUUUUUUCUUUAAAUUAAGAAUGCUGUUUUUUAUGUGUGGAUGUCUUGCCUGCCUGUAUGUCUGUAUCCCAUGUGCGCCUGGUGCCCUCGGAGAAGAGGACUUUGGUUCUUCUGGGACUGGCUUAUAGCGGGUUCGUGCGGUCCGUGCUUUUAACUGCGGAGCCGGUUCUCUAGCCAGCCACCCUUCUUGCUUUUAGGAAAUCCUAAAGAUAGCCAAGUGACUCUGUCAUUCCUAGGGUGUUUUUGUUUGCUUUUUAACUUCUUAUGCACAGGUCUCCUUUUCCUCUUUGGGCCCCAUAGUAGCUCAGGAUGGUGUGGGAAUUCACUAUGAAACCCAGACAGACACUGGCCUUGAACUAGUGACAGACCUCCUGCCUGGUCCUGCAGGGUGCAGGGGUUAUGAUCGUGUAACGCCACACCUGUGUCUCUGCUUUGUGCAAGUGCUCUACGCAUUGAACUACCAGACCGGCCCAAGAGCUGUUGACUCUUGAGCUGACUCCCUUCACCUACAUCCUCACUUUGUUCUUUUAUUUAAAUAUAAAUCCCAGACAUCGUACGACUCGUGGAUCAGCCUUUAUGAUCAGUGUUCUAGCUUGCCUGAUGGGUAGCUCUGUACUCUGUAUCCAAAAUGACUUACAAACAGGGCCAGGUAGUCCCAGAGUUACACACUCUAUUGUCUUUUCCUAGGUGUUUUCUGCUUCUAGUUUCUUCAGAGAGAACAAUUACAUUUUGUCCUUAGUUGGUACUUUAAUGCUCUUAGUUCUGGUAGCCCAUUACUUAGGUCAAUAAAGAGAUAAAAUUCCUCUUUGGGCAGGCUUAUUAGACAUUCAUUUCCAUUCUUUCUGCUGGCACUCGGACACACUGCCUGCCCGUUUUGUUCUGUUUUGCCCUGUUGUCUGGAUGAAACACAUUCACAUCUCUACACACUUCGUUUUUUUCCCUUUCUGGUGCUGGGAAUUGGACAGUCAACUCUGACCAAAUGCUCCACAGGAAGCAAUUAGGGAAGAAAAAAUGAUUUUGUCUCAUGGUUUUAAGUGGGCAUGGGCACCCUCUCAAGCAAAUAUAUGUGUUUAAAAAGACAAAAGCCUUUCUUUUUUUCCUCCCUUCCCUGUUUUCU